GCGCUUCACGUGUGAUAUUUCUGAGCAAUGCCAAGAUAAAGUGCUGCAGAGAAGUCUCUUUUAAUGGCACACACUUCUCUGAUGCAUCCCAGAUUUCAUAAACGUCAGAUUUGCUGUCUUCUUGGGUUUACUUUGAACUGCAGGUCAUGCUUUGGACAGCUUGGCAAUACCUGCACAUGCAGCAAUCUUAAUUAAAGGUGGAUUUAUGCAGCUGAAUUCAACAGUUUCGAUGAAAUAACCUACCAAGUUACAGCUGAAAUGAGCAAAACAAUUUCUGUAAAGUUUUGACAGGAUAAAUACUCCUGUGAUUGAAGAACUAUAGGUGUUUACACAUCUCUUUUAAAUUUCUAAUAUCCUGUGUCAAUUAGAAUGAUGUGCAUCUUUUAAAUACACGGCUAAAAUCAGCUCAGGUGAACACAACCAAUACAAGUCCUGAGACCCUGAGCUGUCAGUUUGACUUAAUGUCAAGAGAUUGCCAAAGUUUCAGCAUCAGCAUCUGCGCUCACCGGCUUCAACAAGACUCAGAAGAAAGAAAAGAA